ACGGGAGGCAGCAGUGGGGAAUAUUGCACAAUGGGGGAAACCCUGACGCAGCAACGCCGCGUGAGUGAAGAAGUAUUUCGGUAUGUAAAGCUCUAUCAGCAGGAAAGAAAAUGACGGUACCUGACUAAGAAGCCCCGGCUAACUACGUGCCAGCAGCCGCGGUAAUACGUAGGGGGCAAGCGUUAUCCGGAUUUACUGGGUGUAAAGGGAGCGUAGACGGCUUUGCAAGUCUGAAGUGAAAGCCCGGGGCUCAACCCCGGAACUGCUUUGGAAACUGUAGAGCUAGAGUGCAGGAGAGGUAAGUGGAAUUCCUAGUGUAGCGGUGAAAUGCGUAGAUAUUAGGAGGAACACCAGUGGCGAAGGCGGCUUACUGGACUGUAACUGACGUUGAGGCUCGAAGGCGUGGGGAGCAAACAGGAUUAGAUACCCUGGUA
rnacentral:rRNA from 1 species